GCGUUCGCGUCGAGUCGCAACCGGCUCCGUCAGAUCGGUUGUUAUUGUUACCUGUUACGUGUUCCUCGCGACCACGCGAGUUCAGGAUCGAGGCCAACGCGAGUAGCAGCCGUCGUGAUAUGUGUGCGUGUGCUUUCGCGAGUGUUUUCCGCUCCGUGAUGCGCGGAUCGUCGCGGGGUGUACACCAAGAUGCUUGGCGAACGUUCGUCGGACCGAAGUUCGACGCUCCAAUGCGAUCCGACAUCAAGAGAGCGAGAUCUGUGUGUCGAACGUGCUCGUCCGCACGAUCACGCAUUAGCGACAACAUCGCGGGUACGCCGACCGUUCUUGAAGAAGGCUCCAGCAUUCGAUGCUCCGAGCGGUAACAAUGGGAUAAUUAUUUCGUGGUUUACUAGUUUAGUGGUGCCAUCUCAAGUUUCGUGUUGCCAACUUUCCGAUCACUCGCAUUGCCUAAUUUAUGAUUGUCGCAAGUGGAGGCGUGACGUCAUUCCUCCAAUCAGAGAGACGCUUGUAUAAAGGUUUCGCACUUGAACGCGUAUGUACGUAACGGCCGCCUGUACUCGCAUCGCGUCGUGACCCAUCCCUCUCCGGCACGCUGUUAUCUCGUUACGUGUUGCGCGUUCUUCCUCGGUACCACGCGAAUUCGAGAUCAAGGUCAACAGCCAUCGUGAGAUGUGUACCUUCGCGAGUGUGCUCCGCUUCGAAUUCUAAGCUCCGAAACGCGUGGAUCGUCGCACGGUGCGUACCAAGGUGCUUCGCGAAUGUUCGUCGGAACGUGUCGGUCGUUCGAGAGCGUCGAACGAGAUCUGCGGGCCGUAUAUAUAUAUAUGUUGAUCGUCCGGACGAUUACGCAUUAGCGACAACAUCGCGAAUCCUGAAGAAGGAUGGCGUACCGGCGUGGAACACAACACGGAGUGUCGCGUUGCCGGCGCCGUGAUUGUCUCACGAUACGCGUCAUUUCGUCGUGUUAGUGCCGCGAAGCGAGAUCGCGGCGUCCUCCUCGCAUCCUCUCGUCGGUCAAGAGCGGGAAAACAUCGUCGGAAACGUUAAUUGAUGUGCCUAUCGUUCACGUCUCGCAACCCUCGCGCCUGUGUGCCUCGUGAAGUUGGCGCCAAAUCCGCCUAAGGUGCUUGUUGAAUUUUUCGUCGCGCCGUGCAAAAGGAUAGGUAACCUCGACACAGUUCGCGUUAUUAAAUAAUAAAUAUACGGAAAUGGCAAAACAUCGCGCGAGUGUGUACGUGUGUGUAAUAACAGUGCGACGGUAAUUAAUCGUUUCCAUCGGAAUCAGUUAAAUGUCACAUUAAAUGAAAUAAUUCGUUUAAGUUAAGUAGUUAUAUCCGUGGUCGUCGUCUAUUUUUAUUUAUUGUUCGCGUACAUACGCAUCUCUCGAUCGUGUCGCGCGCGAGUGUGUUUAUGUGUGUGUGAUUGUAUGAAGCGGCUGCCGCGACGAUGCAACGACCAGCGAAACAUCAUCGAUUCAUCGGCCGGGUGACGUCGAUUCGAGCGUUGCAGCCGCUUUCUGCAGUGUCGGUAUCAUCAGCGCCAGACUUUGGUAAGUGAACCUCCAAGAAUAUACGCUUCUUCCGUGAUCGCUGAGGGACGGGGUAAGUGUCUAAUAAUGAAUGGCCGACAAUAGUGAUAAUGUUUUGCAGUUUCUAUCGAUUUCUGACGAAAUCCCAUAGGAAACCACUUUAGCUUUGCGUGAAUUUUUUUCUACCCGAAUACUAUUUCUCGUAAUGCUACUCAUGCCGCUUGGCAAACACGCACUUGUAGAACUCACGGAGUUAAACUUAGCCGCCGAAAGACGCCGAAUAUCGUAAAGUUAUAAACCGUAAUAAAUCGUUCCUAAUGUAGGUUAACGCCAGGGCGAAAGAAUUGUCUAUCGAAUUUACGACGAGCUUGUUGCCAAAACCGCCGUCGUAAAGAAAGAAGGAUCCACCCUUCGCCGAGAGAAGGUCGAUAUCCGCGACGAUAAUGGACCCAUACCAUCGUGGUAUGGGUGGACGGAUGCAACUGAGGUGGUUAAUUUAGAAAAGAGGAUUGCACCCUGGACGUAAUGUUUGUAAUCCUUAACGAAGGAUGCUUCAGUGAACUUGAAUUGCAGAAGCGCGUUUUUACGAGAAAAAGAAGAAUGAUAGGGACAAGUAUAAAAUAAUCAUUAGUCGCUUCAUUGAAUUAUUUUUUUUAUUACUUUAUCGGCGUAUUUAUCGUUGCUACUCAUUUUAUAUUAUAUUGUAAUCAAUAUUAAUUAUUUUGGACAAAUACUAUUAAAAUCGGUGACUAUUAUUACAAACAAUUAUUAAAAUUGACGAUAAUGAUUAUCAUAAGUGGUUAAUAAUAUUACUAACUGAUACAUCUAUGUAAUAAUUAAACGAUUAUAAAGUUUGUAUCACGUACGCAGUAUAUGUAAUUAUUAUCUGACGGCUAUGCUAACGUGAUUACAUAACUUUUUUUUACUUGUAUAACUUUGAUACAGUGUAA